GGUCAUGAGUGCCAGCGCGAAGCCCCGGCUUGCUGGCCGGCAACCCUCCAACCGCGGUGGGGUGCCCCGGGUGAGGACCGGGCGCGACGCCGACCGGCGUCGGGCAAGCACGGCAC
rnacentral:ncRNA from 2 species